rnacentral:rRNA from 1 species
GAUGAACGCUGACAGAAUGCUUAACACAUGCAAGUCGAUGGGGAAGUGGUGCUUGCACCAUGGCAACCAUGGCGGACGGGUGAGUAACGCGUAAGGGACUUACCUGCAGGACUGGGAUAACAGGGGGAAACUCCUGACAAGACCGGAUAAUGUCAUGGAGCUGCAUGGCUUUAUGAUGAAAGGAGACGCCUGCGGAGAGCCUUGCGUCCUAUUAGCUAGUUGGUGAGGUAAUGACUCACCAAGGCGAAGAUAGGUAGCCGGCCUGAGAGGGUGGACGGCCACAAGGGGACUGAGAUACGGCCCUUACUCCUACGGGAGGCAGCAGUGGGGAAUAUUGGACAAUGGGGGCAACCCUGAUCCAGCAAUUCUGUGUGCACGAAGAAGGUUUUCGGAUUGUAAAGUGCUUUCAGCAGGGAAGAAGUAAGUGACGGUACCUGCAGAAGAAGCGACGGCUAAAUACGUG